GAUGAACGCUGGCGGCGUGCCUAAUACAUGCAAGUCGAGCGGACGGACGAGAAGCUUGCUGCGCUGAUGUUAGCGGCGGACGGGUGAGUAACACGUGGAUAACCUACCUAUAAGACUGGGAUAACUUCGGGAAACCGGAGCUAAUACCGGAUAAUAUUUUGAACCGCAUGGUUCAUAAGUGAAAGACGGUCUUGCUGUCACUUAUAGAUGGAUACGCGCUGCAUUAGCUAGUUGGUAAGGUAACGGCUUACCAAGGCAACGAUGCAUAGCCGACCUGAGAGGGUGAUCGGCCACACUGGAACUGAGACACGGUCCAGACUCCUACGGGAGGCAGCAGUAGGGAAUCUGACGCAAUGGGCGAAAGCCUGACGGAGCAACGCCGCGUGAGUGAUGAAGGUCUUCGGAUCGUAAAACUCUGUUAUUAGGGAAGAACAGAUGUGUAAGUAACUGUGCACAGCUUGACGGUAACUAAUCAGAAAGCCACGGCUAACUACGUG
rnacentral:rRNA from 1 species